rnacentral:rRNA from 1 species
UACGUAGGGGGCAAGCGUUGUCCGGAUUUAUUGGGCGUAAAGAGCGUGUAGGCGGCCAGGUAGGUCAGCUGUGAAAACUCGAGGCUCAACCUCGAGACGUCGGUUGAAACCACCUGGCUAGAGUCCGGAAGAGGAGAGUGGAAUUCCUGGUGUAGCGGUGAAAUGCGUAGAGAUCAGGAAGAACAUCGGUGGCGAAGGCGCUCUGCUGGACCAUAACUGACACUCAGGGACGAAAGCUAGGGGAGCGAAUGGG